GAUGAACGCUGGCGGCGUGCCUAAUACAUGCAAGUCGAGCGAACAGACGAGGAGCUUGCUCCUCUGACGUUAGCGGCGGACGGGUGAGUAACACGUGGAUAACCUACCUAUAAGACUGGGAUAACUUCGGGAAACCGGAGCUAAUACCGGAUAAUAUAUUGAACCGCAUGGUUCAAUAGUGAAAGACGGUUUUGCUGUCACUUAUAGAUGGAUCCGCGCCGCAUUAGCUGGUUGGUAAGGUAACGGCUUACCAAGGCGACGAUGCGUAGCCGACCUGAGAGGGUGAUCGGCCACACUGGAACUGAGACACGGUCCAGACUCCUACGGGAGGCAGCAGUAGGGAAUCUUCCGCAAAGGGCGAAAGCCUGACGGAGCAACGCCGCGUGAGUGAUGAAGGUCUUCGGAUCGUAAAACUCUGUUAUUAGGGAAGAACAAAUGUGUAAGUAACUAUGCACGUCUUGACGGUACCUAAUCAGAAAGCCACGGCUAACUACGUG
rnacentral:rRNA from 1 species